GAGGGUGUAGCUCAAUGGUAGAGCACGUGCUUAGCAUGCACAAGGUGCUGGGUUCAAUCCCCAGGAUCUCCA
rnacentral:tRNA from 1 species